rnacentral:rRNA from 1 species
GACGAACGCUGGCGACGUGCUUAACACAUGCAAGUCGAACGAGAUCCAAUGUGUAGCCAUCCACCGGAAGAUCUAGUGGCGAACGGGUGAGGAACACGUGAGAAACGUACCCCAGACUUUGGGAUAACAGUCCGAAAGGACUGCUAAUACCAAAUAACGUCGGAAGUCCGCAUGGACAUCUGACGAAAGGGAUUCCGGUUUGGGAGCGUCUCGCGGACCUAUCAGCUAGUUGGAGGGGUAACGGCCCACCAAGGCAACGACGGGUAGCUGGUCUGAGAGGAUGGUCAGCCACACUGGGACUGAGACACGGCCCAGACUCCUACGGGAGGCAGCAGUGGGGAAUCUUGCGCAAUGGGCGAAAGCCUGACGCAGCAACGCCGCGUGCGGGAAGAAGGCUUUCGGGCUGUAAACCGCUUUCAGUAGGAACGAAACUGACGGUACCUACAGAAGAAGGAGCGGCCAACUAUGUG